UGAACUGAGAGUUUGAUCCUGGCUCAGGACGAACGCUGGCGGCGUGCUUAACACAUGCAAGUUGGACGACGGUCUUAUGAAGUGGAGACAUGGAAUGAGAUACGGAGUAGCGGAC
rnacentral:rRNA from 1 species